GGGUUCUUCAAAUCAUAUUGUAAAGCACCAACACAUUUGCUUGAUUGCAAUACAAGAACUUGGGUAUGCUAUUGCAUAUGCUGUAAACUGAAAGAUUCCAAGGUGUCCGUAAGAGAGAGUCCUGUGGGUUGUGACAGCCCGAAAGUUCAUGCGAAAGUAUCUGGUCUUUGAAUAAGGCAGCAAAAGUUUACGAGGCAUCAGGAUGAGCAGACUGGAAACUGUCGUCUGAAGAUGAGCCUCACAAAUGCUGUUACAAAAGCAUGCUUAAUGCUAUGUAUCUAUUCUUCAAGAUUGUAAGAAAUAAACACAUAUUUGCUAAAA
rnacentral:lncRNA from 1 species